GUAGCUCACACCUGUAAUCCCAGCACUUUGGGCGGCCGAGGAGGGCGGAUCACAAGGUCAGGAGAUUGAGACCAUUCUGGCUAACACUGUGAAACGCCGUCUCUACUAAAAAUACAAAAAAAUUAGCCAGGCGUGGUGGUGGGCGUCUGUAGUCCCAGCUGCUGGGAAGGCUGAGGCAGGAGAAUGGCGUGAACCCGCCAGGCGGAGCUUGCAGUGAGCGGAGAUCGCGCCACUGCACUCCAGCCUGGGCGACAGAGCGAGACUCCGUCUCAAAAAAAAAAAAAAGCCAUUCCAAACCAUCUACUCUUGUAGAGAGAAUUGUUAUGUUCUCUUGAAGGUUAGCAUCAUUUUCAGCUCUUUUGAUAUGGGAGGGGGGCAGGGAAAAGCUGGAUAGAGAAAGGCGGGUCCCUGGCUAGGGCUCCACCCUCGGGCCUGUGCCUAAGGACCUAGGUCAGGACAGGCACUCCUCCCUUCACACCAAAAUGUUACAUCUCCCAAGACCACCCUGUCCUGCCACAACCCGAUCCUGUGCCUAUAAAAACCCCGAGACCCUAGUGGGCAGACACACAUGAGGCUGGACGUCGAGAGAAACACAUCAGCGGAAGAACACACAAGCGGCUGGACAUCGAAAGGACGUCUAGGGUAGCAUGCCAGCGAAAGAACACACUGAUAGACGCUGGCAGGCCGGCAGGCCAGCAGGCCAUCCACUGGCGGAAUGACGUGGAGAUUGGUCAAGGCAGACAGAAGGGAGCCCGGACCGCUGAGUGGCCCAACUCCAGGGGAAAACCACCUUCCCACUCCCUCCCGCUUCUGUCCUCCCCAUCCACCUUGCUGAAAGCUUCUACCAUUCAAUAAAACCUUGCACUCAUUCUCCAA
rnacentral:lncRNA from 1 species